GGAGUAUGUUUUUUCUAACAUAUCUGCACCAGUAAUUUUCUCUCUACUUAAUUUCAGGAUUUUAUUUGGAAAAGAUCAAUAAAGCAAUAAGCAGUAGCAUAGCAGCGAAAAGAAUAGGGAGCCGCACAACAACAACAACAACACCGCACCGCAUCCAGCAACAAUGGCCACGAAUAGUGCCGGAUAAGGAUGGUGGUCGGCCGUCAACUGGAGACAGUCUCCGGCAGGGAGUGUAGCAGCGGUGGCCGAGGGAGGUGGCGCCGCGGUGGUGAAACGGAGGAGAGAGAAAAUAGUGGAAAAGCUUCAAGUUUCAUCAAUGGUUUAUUUAUUUUUCUUACUCAUUUUUUAAUUGGGUUUUGGUAUUGCAAUUUCCAAAUUACUGAAAAUUAGAAGGCUAUUUAUAAAGCUUUAUUGACAUGGUGAGUCAUGAAA